GGCUGGCUUCGCCCGGCAGUCCACGCGAGAUCUGCAAACAGAGGAGCGAUCAGGACGUGAGAGACCGUCCUCGGGGCGCAGGGCCGCGGGCGGGCGCGGUGUCCGCAGGCUCGGCCCGGCUCCUGGCCGCGGGAGUCCGCAGGGCGCCGCAGGGCCUGCUCCUCCCUCCACAGCCCUGCACCUGCGCAGGGACCCCGCAGGGCCUGCUCCUCCCUCCACAGCCCUGCACCUGCGCAGGGACCCCGCAGGGCCUGCUCCUCCCUCCACAGCCCUGCACCUGCGCAGGGACCCCGCAGGGCCUGCUCCUCCCUCCACAGCCCUGCACCUGCGCAGGGACCCCCCAGGGCCUGCUCCUCCCUCCACAGCCCUGCACCUGCGCAGGGACCCCCCCAGGGCCUGCUCCUCCCUCCACAGCCCUGCACCUGCGCAGGGACCCCCCAGGGCCUGCUCCUCCCUCCACAGCCCUGCACCUGCGCAGGGACCCCCCAGGGCCUGCUCCUCCCUCCACAGCCCUGCACCUGCACAGGGACCCCGCAGGGCCUGCUUCUCCCUCCACAGCCCUGCACCUGCGCAGGGACCCCCCAGGGCCUGCUCCUCCCUCCUCCACAGCCCUGCACCUGCGCAGGGACCCCCCAGGGCCUGCUCCUCCCUCCUCCACAGCCCUGCACCUGCGCAGGGACCCCGCAGGGCCCGCUCCUCCCUCCUCCACAGCCCUGCACCUGCGCAGGGACCCCGCAGGGCCCGCUCCUCCCUCCUCCACAGCCCUGCACCUGCGCAGGGACCCCGCAGGGGCUGCUCCUCCCUCCUCCACAGCCCUGCACCUGCGCAGGGACCCCGCAGGGACUGCUCCUCCCUCCUCCACAGCCCUGCACCUGCGCAGGGACCCCGCAGCCCUGCACCUGCACUGUGGGCUGGCCCUUCGAGGCCCCUGCACGUGUUACCAGAGAUUGAUGCUCCCAGGUUCACGGGGGCCUUUGGCGUGUUCUCCCCACUCCCAAAAUUAUGGGUUACUCCUCUUAGGGAACCAUUUUAUGCAGCUGGGUAGGCAUUAGCAAUGUGUGUACGAGAGCCAAAGAAAACGGGAAAAUCUUGAAGAAAACUCGGAAUUUCUGUGUGAGGCCAGGAGGAAGCAAGCCUUGGAAGCAAACCAGCAUUUACGUAUCAGUCUGGUUACUUGUUAUGGUUCAGGAACUGGUUGGCCAACCCUCUCCAGAGGCAGCUUAGAAGAAGGCUCCGUUCAGAAGUCCUGGGACGGGGCUGGCGCUGUGGCGUAGCAGGAAAAGCCGCCGCCUGCAGGGCUGGCGUCCCAUGUGGGCGCCGGUUCCAGUCUUGGCUGCUCCACUUCCGUAUCUGAUUUUGUUUUUGUCUUUUUUUAAAAGAUUUAUUUAUUUAUUUUGAAAGAGUUACAGAGAGGAGAGAAAGAGAGAGAAAGGAGAAUCUCUCCAUCCCCUGGUC
rnacentral:lncRNA from 1 species